CAUUUUUAUUUUUCUGAAUUAAAUGUUUUUUCAUCUGUUUCUUGGAUUAAUGAUAUGGAAUUAAUUGUGUUGCCAAAAAAAAAAUAUAUAUAUAUUAACCGGAACUAACAAAAUAAUAUAAACAUGACGCGGACGCGCAUCAUCGUGCACGCGCAGGUGCAGGUCGCAGGAGCGUUUUCAAAUAUCGAUUUGUAACGGCUCCUUUCCUCCAUUUCAUGACGGCUGUCAUCUCUAACACACGGAAGGUGAGUAAGUUUGCAAAAUAAAUAUACAAAUUAGAUACGAUUUGCACACAAAUAUCUACACUUACACGCAUCAUUAUGUCGUGUAACCUGUUUUAGGAACGUCUCGCGAAGCGAUUGCUGUUGUAUAAGAUUGGGUAAAAAUUAUUAUUUUGCGAUAAUAACAAUCGGCUGGAUGUACAUAAUCACUCAAAUUACGUGUACCUCACACAAAUAUAAAUAAUUUGAUAUAAAAUAUUGAUUUAUGUCGAAAUAUUUUAUUGUCAUUGAACACGAAGCUUCCAUGAAAGCCAUUGCAAGCGACCGUUAAUUUCAAAUUAAACAGAUAACGUGAUACAUUCGUACUUAUUAGACGGCUUUUUUCCACAAAUAUAUUUAUUUAUUUAUUUAUUGUCUUCCCUUACAUAUACAGUGUGUAGCAAGUGUCUUGAGCAGGGUUGCUUAUAUUAUUUUCUAGCCGCGAUGCUAUCUAAUAUUCUUUCCUUAUAUUUGUGAGUAAUAUUACGCUUUUGUUAAUAUUUGCGUUUCUUAAACAGUUACCUGUGUGACAAAUUGUGUCUAAGUUAUGUACUUCAAUACAUCUUUUAUUCAUUCACACAAAUAAUGUACAUAAAGCCUGCUUUUUUCCUUCUCAGAACAUCCACAUAAACCCUGAAAUUGUUCAGUAUUCUCUCAAACAGCCGUUUGAGUCACCUCAAAUGUAGCAGUGGGCCAGAUUGAAAUGGUCCGAUGCACUUCACUUGCAAUGCAGAUCAUCAUUUCUGGACAGCUUUCUACUUACUGCUGUGGACAUGAAAGGAUCGUCCUAGGCUUGCCCAUGCUGAUGGGCUGCACCACAGCAGUACUGGAGCUGAAUUCCUGUUAGAAAACAUCUUCAGGAUGCUUUGACCAGGACACCUCCAAUGUAAAGCAGUGGACAGCUGAAGAUGUUGCUGGCUGUUAUUGCUAGACAUUAUUUAAAUUUGAUUAUUUG